AUCCUUUUGUAGUUCAUAAGCAUAAUGACUGGGUGUUCACACACACGUGAGAUGUCCCACCCUCAAACCUUGUUACAUUGGCCGGGCGCGGUGGCUCAAGCCUGUAAUC
ensembl:snoRNA